CGGCCAACUUUCUGAAUAAGUGUUUGUUAUUGAUUAGUUGAUUGUUAUUAUAGGAGGGUAAAAUCAAUAUUGGAGGAAGAAGAUAAAAAAAUUGCGAAUUCAGAAGGACUCGUUGGAUUCCUCGUCUUUCAGAUAAUUAUCGGAGUGGUUGAGUUUGUAAUUACAAUAAUCAGUGCUGGAAUAUCCUGUAAUGCAUGCUGCUGUAGUCCUACCGUAGACAGUACAGCAGUCUAUAUACCAAAGGAAAAGUUGGAAACGGGUGAAAGUGUUAUUCAUGUUCAAAAGGAAAAC